rnacentral:rRNA from 1 species
UACGUAGGGUGCAAGCCGUGUCCGGAAUUAUUGGGCGUAAAGAGCUCGUAGGCGGUUUGUCGCGUCUGCUGUGAAAACCCGAGGCUCAACCUCGGGCCUGCAGUGGGGUACGGGCAGACUAGAGUGCGGUAGGGGAGAUUGGAAUUCCUGGUGUAGCGGUGAAAUGCGCAGAUAUCAGGAGGAACACCGGUGGCGAAGGCGGGUCUCUGGGCCGAUACUGACGCUGAGGAGCGAAAGCGUGGGGAGCAAACAGG